GACGAACGCUGGCGGCGUGCUUAACACAUGCAAGUCGAACGGUAAGGCCCUUUGGGGUACACGAGUGGCGAACGGGUGAGUAACACGUGGGUGACCUGCCUCCUACUCUGGGAUAAGCCUGGGAAACUGGGUCUAAUACCGGAUAUCACUUCAUGCUGCAUGGGGUGGGGUUGAAAGUUUUUUCGGGGGGGGAUGGGCCCGCGGCCUAUCAGCUUGUUGGUGGGGUGAUGGCCUACCAAGGCUUCGACGGGUAGCCGGCCUGAGAGGGCGACCGGCCACACUGGGACUGAGACACGGCCCAGACUCCUACGGGAGGCAGCAGUGGGGAAUAUUGCGCAAUGGGCGGAAGCCUGACGCAGCGACGCCGCGUGGGGGAUGACGGCCUUCGGGUUGUAAACCUCUUUCGACUUCGACGAAGUCUCCUUUGGGGGGUGACGGUAGGGGUGGAAGAAGCACCGGCCAACUACGUGCCAGCCGCCGCAGUAACAC
rnacentral:rRNA from 1 species